rnacentral:lncRNA from 1 species
UGUCACAUAAGAGCCAUUUAUUUACAUAUUCAGAGGAAUGGCCCCAGUGGGCCAGCCUCUGACAGGGACUCCUGCUGAGCUGGGAUGAGUGGGGAGACUUGAUUGCAGGGGGGUAGAUAGCCUGUGGGAGUUCCACCCACAGCAGAGCCCAAGUGGCCGGAGCCUGCAGCCUUAAGAGUAGUUGGUGUUGGAGAUCUCCCUCCAGAGUAAGGUCUUAAGGUGGCUGUGUACCCCACAUUGGCAAGUGUAGUCUCACACAUGUAGAAGGUACCAUAGGAACCAUGGAAGAGCUCCUCUACAAAUUCCAACAGGCCAAUGGCGAUCUUUGCACGCCAUGGCCAUGCAGGUCCAAACCACUGCUGGAGAGCCCUGUGCAGCACAGAUGGUAGAAGGGGGCGCAAGGCAGGCAGCAACACUGCCCCGUGCCAGGAGCCGUGAGGGAUGCUCUCGGUAAGGUAGAGGUCCCCGCAGUAGCCCAGCAGCCGGGAAGCAUGCUCCUUCUCCUGAAGGGACAACAGCAGCAGGAACUCAUUGCGCU